rnacentral:rRNA from 1 species
AUGAACGCUAGCUACAGGCUUAACACAUGCAAGUCGAGGGGCAGCAUGGUCUUAGCUUGCUAAGGCCGAUGGCGACCGGCGCACGGGUGAGUAACACGUAUCCAACCUGCCGUCUACUCUUGGACAGCCUUCUGAAAGGAAGAUUAAUACAAGAUGGCAUCAUGAGUCCGCAUGUUCACAUGAUUAAAGGUAUUCCGGUAGACGAUGGGGAUGCGUUCCAUUAGAUAGUAGGCGGGGUAACGGCCCACCUAGUCUUCGAUGGAUAGGGGUUCUGAGAGGAAGGUCCCCCACAUUGGAACUGAGACACGGUCCAAACUCCUACGGGAGGCAGCAGUGAGGAAUAUUGGUCAAUGGGCGAGAGCCUGAACCAGCCAAGUAGCGUGAAGGAUGACUGCCCUAUGGGUUGUAAACUUCUUUUAUAAAGGAAUAAAGUCGGGUAUGGAUACCCGUUUGCAUGUACUUUAUGAAUAAGGAUCGGCUAACUCCGUGCCAGCAGCCGCGGUAAUACGGAGGAUCCGAGCGUUAUCCGGAUUUAUUGGGUUUAAAGGGAGCGUAGAUGGAUGUUUAAGUCAGUUGUGAAAGUUUGCGGCUCAACCGUAAAAUUGCAGUUGAUACUGGAUAUCUUGAGUGCAGUUGAGGCAGGCGGAAUUCGUGGUGUAGCGGUGAAGUGCUUAGAUAUCACGAAGAACUCCGAUUGCGAAGGCAGCCUGCUAAGCUGCAACUGACAUUGAGGCUCGAAAGUGUGGGUAUCAAACAGGAUUAGAUACCCUGGUAGUCCACACGGUAAACGAUGAAUACUCGCUGUUUGCGAUAUACUGCAAGCGGCCAAGCGAAAGCGUUAAGUAUUCCACCUGGGGAGUACGCCGGCAACGGUGAAACUCAAAGGAAUUGACGGGGGCCCGCACAAGCGGAGGAACAUGUGGUUUAAUUCGAUGAUACGCGAGGAACCUUACCCGGGCUUAAAUUGCAGAUGAAUUACGGUGAAAGCCGUAAGCCGCAAGGCAUCUGUGAAGGUGCUGCAUGGUUGUCGUCAGCUCGUGCCGUGAGGUGUCGGCUUAAGUGCCAUAACGAGCGCAACCCUUGUUGUCAGUUACUAACAGGUUCCGCUGAGGACUCUGACAAGACUGCCAUCGUAAGAUGUGAGGAAGGUGGGGAUGACGUCAAAUCAGCACGGCCCUUACGUCCGGGGCUACACACGUGUUACAAUGGGGGGUACAGAGGGCCGCUACCACGCGAGUGGAUGCCAAUCCCCAAAACCUCUCUCAGUUCGGACUGGAGUCUGCAACCCGACUCCACGAAGCUGGAUUCGCUAGUAAUCGCGCAUCAGCCACGGCGCGGUGAAUACGUUCCCGGGCCUUGUACACACCGCCCGUCAAGCCAUGGGAGCCGGGGGUACCUGAAGUGCGUAACCGCGAGGAGCGCCCUAGGGUAAAACUGGUGACUGGGGCU